rnacentral:lncRNA from 1 species
GUUCCCCUGUACUGGGGCAUAUAAAGUUUGCAAGUCCAAUGGGAAGAAAGAUUUUUUUGCAACAUACGCAUGUAAAAUUAAAGAUUCAGUUGGCAUUCUAGAGCCGUUUCUUUAGUGAAGAAACAGAAAGGUCAAAAACUUCUGGUGACAGGAGAAAAGGUAAUCCUUUUGUAAGUUCUAAAAGAUGACCCUUACAACCACAAAUUUCAAUUAAGAGAAAGGUUAGGGGGAGGUUGCUGUCUUGAAGUCUUCAGUGACAUGAUGCCAGGAGUCAUAUUUCAGGAUGUUUUAUAUAAAUAGGAAAUGUUUUCUAUUUAAUUGUAGCUUCUUUACAUCUGGAAGACUUGUCAUAUUGUAAACAAACCUUAUAUGACAUACAGGCAUAUCGAAGAUAUUCUAUUUAUAUAUCUCCAAGCAUACAGAGUUAUACUGACUUAAAAGUUAAAUGAGCUUUUUAUACAUUUUAUGGAAUUGUCUGGUACAGUAUCGAACAAAUAUUGGACAUUUCUAUUUGGCUAAAAUGUUAGGAUUUUUUUUUUUUUUGCACCAAAACUUAGUCUGCAAAAACAUGAGGUGUGGGCUUCUUGAAUACAUUACUUUGCUGCAGAACUAAUUACUCUCCAGAAUCUAUGAACAAUGUUUUGCAUCUCUCUGGGUAUUUGACAUUUCUCACGUAUUUUGUGAAUAAUUAAGUGAUAUUCACCCUUAUCAAAGAAAAGCAUUUUGCAACUAUAUGACACCACCUCACUGUACCUCACACAUCUUCACUGUAUAAAGAAGCCAAACAGAGAUGGCCUGUUCUCUCUGCCGCUUUCUCAGAUUCUCCUUGGCGGUUCUCAACAGUUGAGCCAAGUCUGUGUUACAGUGUAUAAUAAUCACAUAAGUGUUUAUGCCACUUUGUAGAAAUUAUCCUGUAUUCCUUUUUCCAUGUACAAAGCACACCAUGAGUAUCAGUAAUAAUUUGUUUUUUGAGUGAUGAUUUUUCUAUAAAACAAAUUUCAAUUUUCUUUAUUAUUAUUAUUAUUAUUAUUAUUCAUUCCCUUUUUCACUUUACAUCCUGCUCACUGCCCUCAUCCUGGCCACCUCUUCCCAUGAUACUUCCCCAUCCCCUCUCUUCUGAAUGGGUAGGGGACCCCUGGGUAUCAUUCCACCCUGACACAUCAAGUCUCUUUGAGGCUACACACAACCUCUCUCCCUGAGGCCAGACAAGGCAACUCAAGUAGAAGAACAUAUUCUACGGGCAAGCAACAGCAUUCAAGAUAGGCCCAGCUCUAAGGGUUUAGUACCCACAUGAGUACUAAGCAGCAAUUCUACCUAUGUGCAGGGGUGUACGGGUGGGGGAGGUAGGUCCAGCCUGUGUAAGUUGUUUCGUUUGUGGUUCAGUCUUUGAGACUGGGUCCAGGUUGAUUGAUUCUGUUGGUCUUCCUGUGGAGUUCUUAUCCCCUUCAGGGCUCACAAUCCUUCCUCCUAUUCUUCUGUAAAAGUCCUCAAAGUUCCACCCACUGUUUGGCUAUGGGUGUCUGUAUCUGUCUGUGUCACCUGCUGGGUGGAGCCUCUCAUUGAGGGCGGCCAUGCUAGAAUACUGUCUCCAAGCAUAACAUAGUAUCAGUAAUAGUGUUUUUCAAAAAGAAUUUCAAAAAGGAAACAGUUCUACUGAGAGGCAGGUAAAGCAAUAGAAAUUCCUGGCUAUUUUACUAUAGACUUACUACUUAAUAUUUAUCCUAACAGACUCAUCUAAGAGUCUAUGUACUUUCUUUAUUUUAUUUUAUUUUAUUUUAUUUUAUUUUAUUUUAUUUUAUUUGCCUGCUUAUCCAAAUGCUGAAAUCAUCUUGCUUCCUGGCACAUUCCUUCUCCAAUAAGAAAUGGCAGAAUACUCCAAAACACUGGGACACAUCCAUCUAAAGAGUGAAUAGAUUAGUAAAUGUUCAAUUAAAAUGUCUUUUAGGAUAUUAACUGUACAGAUUUCAAAGUUGGGAAUAAACACUAUGGAAUAGUGUUAAAUGCAUUACCUGUGAUGAUAAAAAGAAGUCAGAGGCUCUAAAAUGUGGGGUUUUUUGGACUAGAUAGUUUGCCUGAAUUUUUCUUGUGUUUGCAAUCAGAAUAUAGUGUGAUGCCUUCAUCAAUAGAAUAAUAACAAUAAAAUUGAGGGUCGCCCUAAGUAGAUAGUAAAUUCAUAUAAACAACUGUGAAUGUGUCUAUAUUAGGAUUUUCUUUAAAAAAAAUCAGAAAUAAAAGAGCAUCAUGAGAAUCUAGCUAAGAUACAAGUGGAAGCAAAUGUACCCAAGAAGACAUAUACAUUAUUAAACAAAAUGAAGGCAAGCUGAUUGGACUUUAAAUUAUCUUAGAAAAGGCAGCUAGCCCUGCAUUACAUUGAGCUAUGUGUCUAUUAAGAGAUAAAAUUGACAGAUAAUUAUUCUCUCCACUGACGAUUUCAUGAUUAGAGGUAUUUUAAUUGGUACUCUCAACUGCAUUAAACUUGUAUUUCCAUUGCAUCUUAAUCCCAAAGCCAUCAUUAGGAGAUGUGUUUAGUAAGCAUGGGAGAUGUGUAAGUCAACUAGGGAAACUUGUCAUGAGAUGGAAUCCGUUGCUGAUGACUUUAAAAGGUGAUUUAUUAUAUAGAGCUCUUGACUACCUGGAGUAUCAGACAUAAAACAGAAUAUUUUCUGUGUAAUUACACUGAAUAAUUAUUAAUGACAGGUUUAUGCAGCAACACUUAGACCAGCCUUCUGGGCAAUAUGGCAGCAGAGUGGUGGAGGUUGUCUACAUUCUAAAGGAACCUGAUGAUACACUCGUAGAAUCUGAAGAUUAAAUUAGUUCUCCCUUCUUCCUUUAUUAUUUUUUUUCUAGAACAAAUUUCUUUCCCUCACAAAUUAAAGACCUCUCCUGCUUCUCUGGAAAAUUGCCCCCAUUUUCUUCUCUUGGAUAUUUCACAACAGCUGCACAAUGAAGUAAUUUGAGCAUUUACAAACUUGAUACAAUGCCUCAUUCCUCACAUCCAAGUCAUUUAAAUUCUUUCCUCAGCGCCUGCUUCUCUCAGAUUGUGUCCAAGUUUAGCAGUGGAGACCUGAAGUUCAGUGAUCAGCUGAACUUUUGACUCACAUAAAUAACUUUCAAUAAAUUUAAUUAAAUUUAUAUUAGCAGAUUAGACCUGGUCACAUAGAUUUCCAUUUCUGUUAUUAGAAAAUAUUUCCAAUCUAAGGGUGGAAACUAUUUUUACCUUUAACUGGGGCAUGUUUUGCCUUAAUUAGAGCCCAACUAUUUACUUUUAGGGCUUCCAGACUCUCAGUGAUGAAAACAAGGUUUGGGUUUGAAUUUUUAAUCCUCG